UGAGCAAUCUGCCCUUCUCUUUGGAAUAAGCGUUGGAAACGACGUCUAAUGCCGAAUACGACCUCCUUUCGCAUGAUCGGAGGUGGAAAGCUCCGGCGGAGAAGGAUGAGCUCGCGGCCUAUCAGCUAGUUGGUGUGGGUAAUGGCCCACCAAGGCGACGACGGGUAGCCGGCCUGAGAGGGUGACCGGCCACACUGGGACUGAGACACGGCCCAGACCUCCGUACGGGGAGGNAGCG
rnacentral:rRNA from 1 species